AGUGCUUGUUGAGACUAACAGCUAAAUGACAGGCUUGGAAACUCUAUUUCUAGAAAUGCAUCCUGGAAAGAUGUCAGAGGAGGUGUCAUACAUUGAAAUAAUCACUGCUUCAUAUCUGUUCUAGUGUACUUUCUAUUGCUGUGAGAAGCACCAUGACCAAAACCAGAUUGGGAAGGAAGGAUUUACUUGGUUACAUAUUGUGGUUCAUCACUGAAAGAAGCCAAUGUAAGAACUGGAAGGCAGAACCAUAAAGGAAUUCUGCUUACAGAUUUGCUCCCUGGCCCAUGUUCAGCUAUCAGUCUUGUUCUUCCCAGGCUCACCUGCCCAGAGAUAGCACAGCUCACAGUGAGCUGGGCCCUCCUACAUCGAUUGGCAAUAAGAAAAUGCCUUAUAGACAUGCUACAGCCCAAUUAACAAAAUCAAUUCCUCUGUUGAGGUUUCCUCUUACCCUCAGUUGGUGGCUGAAGCUAAGUAUGACA